rnacentral:rRNA from 1 species
UACGUAGGGGGCUAGCGUUAUCCAGAAUUACUGGGCGUAAAGCGCGUGUAGGCGGCCCUGCAAGUCGGAUGUGAAAUCCCACGGCUCAACCGUGGAAGUGCAUUCGAAACUGCAGGGCUAGAGUCCUGGAGAGGAAGGUGGAAUGCUUGGUGUAGAGGUGAAAUUCGUAGAUAUCAAGCGGAACACCGGUGGCGAAGGCGGCCCACUGGUCCGGUACUGACGCUGAGGUGCGAAAGCGUGGGGAGCAAACAGG